ACCUACGGGAGGCAACAGUGGGGGAUAUUGCACAAUGGGGGGAACCCUGAUGCAGCGACGCCGCGUGGGUGAAGAAGCGCCUCGGCGCGUAAAGCCCUGUCAGCAGGGAAGAAAAUGACGGUACCUGAAGAAGAAGCCCCGGCUAACUACGUGCCAGCAGCCGCGGUAAUACGUAGGGGGCAAGCGUUAUCCGGAUUUACUGGGUGUAAAGGGGGCGCAGACGGCGAUGCAAGCCAGGAGUGAAAGCCCGGGGCCCAACCCCGGGACUGCUCUUGGAACUGCGUAGCUGGAGUGCAGGAGGGGCA
rnacentral:rRNA from 1 species